rnacentral:rRNA from 1 species
UACAGAGGGUGCGAGCGUUGUCCGGAAUCACUGGGCGUAAAGGGCGCGUAGGCGGCGCGGUAAGCGUGCGGUGAAAGCCCGGGGCUCAAGCCCCGGGUCCGGCCGUGCGGACUGCCGGGCUGGAGCACUGUAGAGGCAGGUGGAAUUCCGGGUGUAGCGGUGGAAUGCGUAGAGAUCCGGAAGAACACCGGUGGCGAAGGCGGCCUGCUGGGCAGUGGCUGACGCUGAGGCGCGACAGCGUGGGGAGCAAACAGGAUUAGAAACCCCG